rnacentral:lncRNA from 1 species
ACUGGUGCUCUCUAUCUGAUGCAGCCAGACUGAAGUAUGAGCAACACUGCCUGGGGGUGAGCAGUGCACACACUGCACCACUGUCCGGGGAGGCUCUGAGUCAGAGUCAAAGCAAAGGCCUGAGAGCUCCCAUCAGAGAGGUCCCAUCUCUUGGGCUGGGCUGGGUAUGUGGUGAAAAUGGAGGCAGGAGGGUGACUCGGAACCUGGACAGCAGUGAUGGGUCCCCAUCCAUGGACACUGGAAUUUAGGGUGGAAGACUGGCAUUUGGAAAGGCAGGCUGACUUCGCUGGACUGACAGCUGGACAGAGAGCUGGCUCGGCCUUCCUUGGUGUGGGAACUGCCUGGGAGACUCAGCAUAAAGGAGCAGAGGUGGAUCGCUCCUGCAGGCAUGUGGUUCCCAAAACAGAAAAGGGGACAGUGAGAAAACUGAGGCACAGAGAAGUUGAAAGCUGCCUAAGGUUCUGCAAUGAAUGAGUGCCACUGUCAGAAUUCCAACACAAAGGACCAGCUGCAGAGCCCAGGAUCUUAACUACUCUGCUAAUCCUUGUGGGCAAAAAUUAUGCAUAUGUAAAUGCUCUUUGCUUAAAUACAGAUGUGGAUGGAUGAACGUAUGUAGGUCAGCCUACCACCAUUUUUCCCUUUUCCUCUUGCUUUUUUUUUUCUUUACAGGAAAAUUACUUGUUUUAUUUCAUAAUAUAUUUGCAUGCUUUUCCAGCUAUAAACAUAGAGAAUUAAGUUCAUCUUUGACAAUAGUUGUCUCAUAAUUCAUGGUCAAAUAUGCUAUAUUUAGCCAUUUCAUUACUCACAGGCAUUUAGAUUCUUUCCAUUUGUUUUCUCUUGAAAUCAAUGCUGCAAUAAACAUCCCUAUGCACAAAACU